CUAGAGUGGCGAACGGGUGAGUAACACGUGGGUGAUCUGCCCUGCACUCUGGGAUAAGCCUGGGAAACUGGGUCUAAUACCGGAUAGGACCGCACUUUAGUGUGUGUGGUGGAAAGUUUUUUCGGUGUAGGAUGAGCCCGCGGCCUAUCAGCUUGUUGGUGGGGUAAUGGCCUACCAAGGCGGCGACGGGUAGCCGGACUGAGAGGUUGGUCGGCCACAUUGGGACUGAGAUACGGCCCAG
rnacentral:rRNA from 1 species